CACGUAGGGCGCAAGCGUUGUCCGGAAUUAUUGGGCGUAAAGAGCUCGUAGGCGGUCUGUUACGUCUGCUGUGAAAACCCGGGGCUUAACCCUGGACCUGCAGUGGGUACGGGCAGACUAGAGUGCGGUAGGGGAGAUCGGAAUUCCUGGUGUAGCGGUGAAAUGCGCAGAUAUCAGGAGGAACACCGGUGGCGAAGGCGGAUCUCUGGGCCGUAACUGACGCUGAGGAGCGAAAGCAUGGGGAGCGAACAGG
rnacentral:rRNA from 1 species